rnacentral:rRNA from 1 species
CCCUUAGAUGGUCUGGGCGGCACGCGCGCUACAAUGAUGCAUUCAAAAAGUCUUCUGACCUUAGAAGGUUGGGUAUUCUCCAAAGUGCAUCGUGAUGGGAAUAGUUUAUUGCAAUUUUUAAUCUUGAACGAGGAAUUCCUAGUAAGCACAAGUCAUCAGCUUGUGUUGAUUACGUCCCUGCCCUUUGUACACACCGCCCGUCGCUCCUACCGAUUGAAUGUUCCGGUGAGCUCUUCGGACUGCGCGGUCUGCAGUUUCUGCGUUCCGUGCGGAAAGUUGCGCAAACCUUAACAUUUAGAGGAAGGAGAAGUCGUAACA